GAUGAACGCUGGCGGCGUGCCUAAUACAUGCAAGUCGAGCGAACAGACGAGGAGCUUGCUCCUCUGACGUUAGCGGCGGACGGGUGAGUAACACGUGGAUAACCUACCUAUAAGACUGGGAUAACUUCGGGAAACCGGAGCUAAUACCGGAUAAUAUAUUUAACCGCAUGGUUCAAUAUUGAAAGACGGUUUUGCUUUCACUUAUAGAUGGAUCCGCGCGGCAUUAGCUAGUUGGUAAGUUAAGGGCUUACCAAGGCGACGAUGCGUAGCCGACCUGAGAGGGUGAUCGGCCAAACUGGAACUGAGACACGGUCCAGACUCCUACGGGAGGCAGCAGUAGGGAAUCUUCCGCAAGGGGCGAAAGCCGGACGGAGCAACGCCGCGUGAGUGAUGAAGGUCUUCGGAUCGUAAAACUCUGUUAUUAGGGAAGAACAAAUGUGUAAGUAACUAUGCACGUAUUGACGGUACCUAAUCAGAAAGCCACGGCUAACUACGUG
rnacentral:rRNA from 1 species